AAGGUGGACCUCCCCUUGCAGGAGGGAGGCCAGGGCCUGUGCAGGCAAACCAGGCCCUGGCCUCCCUCCUGCAAGGGGAGGCUCAGGAC
rnacentral:pre_miRNA from 1 species